rnacentral:rRNA from 1 species
UUGACAUGCACGGUGCCGCCCCAGAGAUGGCGUUUCCUUUGGGGUCGUGCACAGGUGGUGCAUGGUUGUCGUCAGCUCGUGUCGUGAGAUGUUGGGUUAAGUCCCGCAACGAGCGCAACCCUCGUCCUGUAUUGCCAGCAGCGGUUUCGGCCGGCUGGGGACUUGCGGGAGACUGCCGGGGUCAACUCGGAGGAAGGUGGGGAUGACGUCAAAUCAUCAUGCCCCUUAUGUCCUGGGCUGCACGCAUGCUACAAUGGCCGGUACAGAGGGCUGCGAUGCCGUGAGGCGGAGCGAAUCCCGGAAAGCCGGUCUCAGUUCGGAUCGGGGUCUGCAACUCGACCCCGUGAAGUCGGAGUCGCUAGUAAUCGCAGAUCAGC